AUCAUAUAAAAGUGAUCCAGACGAGUUAUGGAUGCUUGAUGACCAUUACUCUCACCCUAGAGCGUAUAUCCUUAUGCAUGUCAGGGCAAAUCAUCACAAGGAAAAUGUAGUGAAGACUGAAGCAUAUGUGCAUCCUAAUUCUAAUACAAUGUAGUUCUUCUGCUCCAAACGUUAAAUUUGUUCUAGUUCUCACUUUCACCUGGUAGGCCUUAGCUAGAACAUACUUUUGAUGCUUUUCAAGCUCCCAAAAGGAUCUCAUAGCACCCCUCAAAGUUCAUGCUUGAUCAGUUUGCAGGGGAACAUUUCUCUAGCCAAGACAAAUAGCCAACUAAAUCCUAACCUAUAUAAGUACAAUUACUGCCCUCUAAACCCAGUUCAUGAGGGACUUGCAAAUCAUGCACAUGUCAAUCAGCUGAGCAACCUUGUUAAAGGCAUUUGGAUUUCCUUCAUUAAUACACAAUUCCUGGAAACUAACAAAUCUUGUUUCAGAGAAGAUAAAACUGUGCUGAUAUAUUAGACGGCUUACGUGCUUGGCAGGCCUUCCAGUUGCGGUUUGACUCGACAAGGCAGUCCUGCGAACAAAUAAUGAAGAUCAAAAUCUGAGAGGCCUAAGAUUGGUAUUGAAGGAAACAAUCGACUUUCGAGCAGAGAGGCCAGUGCCUGGAGAGAGAGAUAGAUCGUGGCACACUCGUUAAGCUGCUUCACACUCUCGUCCUCCUCAUCCGCGUUGGUCACAUGUAAGGUCCGUUGGGACACAGACAGUGGCACGUUCCUAGUGUCGCUCGAAGAAGAUUCCAUCGCGAGCUUUGGUUUGUUUUGGUGGGGCCACCUCGGUCAGUCAGUUUUGGCCUUUCAGUUGCUGUCAAAUGGAUUGGGCCUGUAAAAUGCCCUAAAGCUGUAAAUUUUAUGGCAAUCAUUUUACCAAACAUUUUUAAAAAAAACUGAAAAGGAACUGCAAGAUGUAAGUCAGAGCAUGUUCUACAAACUACAGCUUUGCAAAUAUUAAGAUAUAAUUUGAAUCAGAC
rnacentral:lncRNA from 1 species